AGUUUAAAAUCAAGAAGGAUAAUAUUAACAGGAGAUAUGAACGAAAGAAUUGAACCAUGAUAAAACGCGACAUGCACUACAAAUUGAAGGUAUGAAAUUAAGUUAAAUGAAAGCUCGUUUAUUCACCAUAUGAUGCUCGUUAUGAGGUAAUCAUAUAGGCUAGAUACCGUGAGUUAACGAGGUCUUUAACAUGCACGUGAGUGCACGGAUAUCGGUUAAUUAUUCAAAUUACUGAAAAACACGGAGAAAACUGCAACCGCAUCGUCAUGUGUUUUUCUAAGAUGUAUGCAAACAGGGGAAAUAUCGCCAAACCAACAAUUAAUUUGACCAAAACCUCACAAUAUAUCAUCAUUUGUAUGCACAGAUUGGAUGCAUUGUGUGUUGUAAGCUUUUCGUGGCGCUAGAUGUCAGACAGAUGCAAAUGGCAAAUACAUACGAAAGUGUAAAACGUGUAUGGCGAACAUCUGUUUUUCUGUCAUUAUAGAUGCUAGUUUGGUGAAGGUUCACACUGAGUGCUUCAAAUCAUUCAGAAGAGAUGCUGUUUUUAGGGCAGUUUAUUAAAGAAGACCUGACAUGGAUGACUUUCAAUGAGAAACGACUGCUAAUACUUAUAUAAAUUCAUUACAGAAGGACCCUACCAGACUAUAUUUGAAUACGGCAUACCCAUGAAUUCUGGAACUGUUAUUCCUUAACCCAGUUUGGAGGAUAAGAGCUUACCAACUAGUUAUGCGAGUACACACAGUACAUUAGUACUGUACACUGUCUCUAACAUGAUUUAUUAUACUGAGAUGAUUUUGAUUCAAAUAACGGUUAAAACUGCACCCUUUUUGGUAUUUUCUUGACUCUUUUUGUCUUUGAAAAUCUGCAGAAAUAUGCUGAGGUGAUGUAUUGCAAAAUAGCCAACAUACAACAAUAUGGAUGACCCUCUGUCUGGUCAACAGGAGUUUAAAUAUGGACGGGACAGUGAUGUGGCAGCUCUUCCCUGGCUCAUUCACCUCUUGCCUUUCAUUUGUGAAAGGAAGAAAGAAGAAAGAAGAAAGAGGGUCAAUGUGCAACUGAAGCUACUGAUUGUGCUAUGUGAUUAGCAUCAAUCCAUGCUUUGAGUGGGAUGAAUCAGCACAGCCCUGCCUGCACUGCGUUGGGAACAGAAGUUGCAUCCAGAAUUUUUGCAUCAUUCUGGACCAAAAAGCCAUUCCCUCCAUGAUGAAGACCACUGAUGCAGCCUUCCACUACAUCAUGAGUAAAACAACUACAGAACUAAAUACCAGGUUGGAACGUAUUUAAGAAAAAUGAAACGUCUUUUGAAUUGAAAUGUCUGUUUUGUUAUGGAAAAAUCUUUAGUAUUGUGAAGGAUAAGCAUUUCUGCCUGCCAGUAAGGUAAUUGCAGUGUAUUUUAAUCUUCAAGUUUUGAGUAGGGUGGCUAAUUUUUUUUUAAA